rnacentral:lncRNA from 1 species
AAGGGGACUAUAUUUGAUUGAAAUAUUGAUUCAUUCCCUUUUCCGGUAAUUCCCGCGCAUUUCAUAUGUCCUACUUUCUAGCACAAGUCAUGUUAAAAUUUACGGAAAUUUUUGACAUGACCCUUGCUAAAAGUGGACAUAUGGAGCGUCUGAAAUUUACCGGAACGGAAAUGAAUCAACAUUCCAGUAAAACAUAGGCCACUCGAACAUUCCGGCAAAACUUAUAAGCUGCUAAGAGUGUUGGAUCUAAAAGAUUGCAAAACAAUAUUGUUGAACGGAGGAUCUUAGUGACCUGAAAUUGUACUAUUGUAGCCUGCAGCUAAAUAUCGACCUUAGUAAGCUAACAAUGCGCAACAUGUCAAUUAACAAUCUAAUAUAUCAGAACCUGCACAAGUUAUGACGCCUCGGUUUAAUCGUACGCUAAUCAUAUACACAAAUGCGUACGAUCAAACUUAAGGACUCACGGAAAGAUAUCACAGCAAAACUCUAGACACAAAAUAAAACAUACAAGCUUCAUAUUACAGGCCAGGGGCCUCGAGGGCUAGAAUACAGAAGCUCGAUAACACACGAGUCAGCGGAAGCAACAAUAUAUGAGUACAAACAUUAAACAUGGGGUGCCUUAUAGAAGGCUAGCACACAAAAAACACGAUCGAACGAGGCGAGGCCUCCUGCCUGAGAACCUCAUAAC